GUGAGGAAUUUUGGACAAUGGGGGAAACCCUGAUCCAGCGACGCCGCGUGGAGGACGAAGGUCUUCGGAUUGUAAACUCCUUUUGUCCGGGAAUAAUAAAUCUGUAGAAAUACAGAGAUUGAAUGUACCGGAUGAAUAAGCCACGGCUAACUUCGUGCCAGCAGCCGCGGUAAUACGAAGGUGGCAAGCGUUACUCGGAAUUACUAGGCGUAAAGCGCAGGUAGGUGGUUGUGUAAGUCUGCUGUGAAAGCUCCCGGCUUAACUGGGAGAGGUCAGUGGAUACUGCAUAGCUAGAGUGUGGGAGAGGGUACUGGAAUUCCCGGUGUAGCGGUGAAAUGCGCAGAGAUCGGGAGGAACACCUAAGGCGAAAGCAGGUACCUGGACCAUUACUGACACUAAGCUGCGAAAGCUAGGGGAGCAAACAGGAUUAGAAACCCCAGUAGUCC
rnacentral:rRNA from 1 species